GGCGCACGGGUGCGUAACGCGUAUGCAACCUACCUCAAACUGGGAGAUAGCCCGAAGAAAUUCGGAUUAAUACCCCAUAGUAAUACAUUUUGGCAUCUUUAUGUAUUUAAAGUUUCGGCGGUUUGAGAUGGGCAUGCGUCCCAUUAGUUUGUUGGUGAGGUAACGGCUCACCAAGACUACGAUGGGUAGGGGGCCUGAGAGGGUAAUCCCCCACACUGGUACUGAGACACGGACCAGACUCCUACGGGAGGCAGCAGUGAGGAAUAUUGCGCAAUGGACGAAAGUCUGACGCAGCCAUGCCGCGUGCAGGAAGAAUGCCCUACGGGUUGUAAACUGCUUUUGUACAGGAAGAAACCCCCGCUCGUGAGCGGGGCUGACGGUACUGUACGAAUAAGCACCGGCUAACUCCGUGCCAGCAGCCGCGGUAAUACGGAGGGGGUUAGCGUUGUUCGGAAUUACUGGGCGUAAAGCGCACGUAGGCGGACUUUUAAGUCAGAUGUGAAAUCCCGAGGCUCAACCUCGGAACUGCAUUUGAAACUGGGAGUCUAGAGAUCAGGAGAGGUUAGUGGAAUACCGAGUGUAGAGGUGAAAUUCGUAGAUAUUCGGUGGAACACCAG
rnacentral:rRNA from 13 species